rnacentral:rRNA from 1 species
GUGGGGAAUAUUGCGCAAUGGGGGCAACCCUGACGCAGCAACGCCGCGUGAAGGAUGAAGGUUUUCGGAUUGUAAACUUCUUUUGUUGAGGACGAAGAAAGUGACGGUACUCAACGAAUAAGCCACGGCUAACUACGUGCCAGCAGCCGCGGUAAUACGUAGGUGGCAAGCGUUGUCCGGAUUUACUGGGUGUAAAGGGCGAGUAGGCGGGUUUGCAAGUCAGAUGUGAAAUACCGGGGCUUAACCCCGGGGCUGCAUUUGAAACUGUAGAUCUUGAGUGAUGGAGAGGCAGGCGGAAUUCCCGGUGUAGCGAUGGAAUGCGUAGAUAUCGGGAGGAACACCAGUGGCGAAGGCGGCCUGCUGGACAUUAACUGACGCUGAGGAGCGAAAGCGUGGGGAGCAAACAGG